CCUUCCUGAGAGAAAACUCUGAUGGUGAUGUUGAUAAUGCUAAAGAAGUCGGAAAUUCUCCUGAUGUUGAAAAUACAGAACAAGGAAAGCUACCAUGGCAAGAUCAUGUAAUACAACGAGGUUUUCUUAACUAAAUGAAUAUUCAAUUGUAUGAAAUAAUAGAUUGUUACUUAUAAAAUAUAGAAAGUUAUUGGUCUA